GACGAACGCUGGCGGCGUGCUUAACACAUGCCAGUCGAACGGAAAGGCCCUGCUUUUGUGGGGUGCUCGAGUGGCGAACGGGUGAGUAACACGUGAGUAACCUGCCCUUGACUUUGGGAUAACUUCAGGAAACUGGGGCUAAUACCGGAUAGGAGCUCCUGCUGCAUGGUGGGGGUUGGAAAGUUUCGGCGGUUGGGGAUGGACUCGCGGCUUAUCAGCUUGUUGGUGGGGUAGUGGCUUACCAAGGCUUUGACGGGUAGCCGGCCUGAGAGGGUGACCGGCCACAUUGGGACUGAGAUACGGCCCAGACUCCUACGGGAGGCAGCAGUGGGGAAUAUUGCACAAUGGGCGGAAGCCUGAUGCAGCAACGCCGCGUGCGGGAUGACGGCCUUCUGGUUGUAAACCGCUUUCGCCUGUGACGAAGCGUGAGUGACGGUAAUGGGUAAAGAAGCACCGGCUAACUACGUG
rnacentral:rRNA from 1 species